rnacentral:rRNA from 1 species
UACGUAGGGUGCAAGCGUUGUCCGGAAUUAUUGGGCGUAAAGAGCUCGUAGGUGGUUUGUCGCGUUGUCCGUGAAAACUCACAGCUCAACUGUGGGCGUGCGGGCGAUACGGGCAGACUGGAGUACUGCAGGGGAGACUGGAAUUCCUGGUGUAGCGGUGGAAUGCGCAGAUAUCAGGAGGAACACCGGUGGCGAAGGCGGGUCUCUGGGCAGUAACUGACGCUGAGGAGCGAAAGCCAGGGGAGCGAACGGG